rnacentral:rRNA from 1 species
AUUGAACGCUGGCGGCAGGCCUAACACAUGCAAGUCGAACGGUAACAGGAAGCAGCUUGCUGCUUUGCUGACGAGUGGCGGACGGGUGAGUAAUGUCUGGGAAACUGCCCGAUGGAGGGGGAUAACUACUGGAAACGGUAGCUAAUACCGCAUAACGUCGCAAGACCAAAGAGGGGGACCUUAGGGCCUCUUGCCAUCGGAUGUGCCCAGAUGGGAUUAGCUAGUAGGUGGGGUAACGGCUCACCUAGGCGACGAUCCCUAGCUGGUCUGAGAGGAUGACCAGCCACACUGGAACUGAGACACGGUCCAGACUCCUACGGGAGGCAGCAGUGGGGAAUAUUGCACAAUGGGCGCAAGCCUGAUGCAGCCAUGCCGCGUGUAUGAAGAAGGCCUUCGGGUUGUAAAGUACUUUCAGCGGGGAGGAAGGGAGUAAAGUUAAUACCUCUGCUCAUUGACGUUACCCGCAGAAGAAGCACCGGCUAACUCCGUG